rnacentral:rRNA from 1 species
GACGAACGCUGGCGGCGUGCCUAAUACAUGCAAGUAGAACGCACAGUUUAUACCGUAGCUUGCUACACCAUAGACUGUGAGUUGCGAACGGGUGAGUAACGCGUAGGUAACCUGCCUGGUAGCGGGGGAUAACUAUUGGAAACGAUAGCUAAUACCGCAUAAUAUUAAUUAUUGCAUGGUAAUUAAUUGAAAGGUGCAAUUGCACCACUACCAGAUGGACCUGCGUUGUAUUAGCUAGUAGGUGAGGUAACGGCUCACCUAGGCGACGAUACAUAGCCGACCUGAGAGGGUGAUCGGCCACACUGGGACUGAGACACGGCCCAGACUCCUACGGGAGGCAGCAGUAGGGAAUCUUCGGCAAUGGACGAAAGUCUGACCGAGCAACGCCGCGUGAGUGAAGAAGGUUUUCGGAUCGUAAAGCUCUGUUGUAAGAGAAGAACGGGUGUGAGAGUGGAAAGUUCACACUGUGACGGUAUCUUACCAGAAGGGGACGGCUAACUACGUG